rnacentral:rRNA from 1 species
UACAGAGGUGUCGAGCGUUGUCCGGAAUUACUGGGCGUAAAGGGCGCGUAGGUGGGCGAGUAAGUCGGUUGUGAAAUCACCGGGCUCAACCCGGUAAUUGCAAUCGAAACUACUUGUCUUGAGUGCAGAAGAGGAGAGUGGAAUUCCCAGUGUAGCGGUGAAAUGCGUAGAUAUUGGGAGGAACACCAGUGGCGAAGGCGGCUCUCUGGUCUGUAACUGACACUGAAGCGCGAAAGCUAGGGGAG